UACGAAGGGGGCUAGCGUUGUUCGGAAUUACUGGGCGUAAAGCGCGCGCAGGCGGUCUUCCAAGUCAGUGGUGAAAGCCCGGAGCUCAACUCCGGAACUGCCAUUGAAACUGUGAGACUUGAGGAUGAGAGAGGUGAGUGGAAUUCCCAGUGUAGAGGUGAAAUUCGUAGAUAUUGGGAAGAACACCGGUGGCGAAGGCGGCUCACUGGCUCACUUUCUGACGCUCAGGCGCGACAGCGUGGGGAUCAAACAG
rnacentral:rRNA from 1 species